GUAAACCACAAAGCGAGAAAAAUACUUAGGGGAAGAGCCACCAAAAUUCUGCAGUCAUUACAAGGCCGGCGAGUGGAUAAGAAGGAUGGAGAAGACAUUGAUAAGAAGAUAAUGUUGGCCAGAUGCACAUCACGGUGUCUGACCCUGCACAUCACCAAGCUGUCUGCCACUUUCAGAAGUCUACAGAAUGAUGACAUUUUGACAUGGUGUGGGAAUAAGCGGCGGUGCUCCCAG